UGGGGAAUAUUGGACAAUGGGCGCAAGCCUGAUCCAGCCAUGCCGCGUGAGUGAUGAAGGCCCUAGGGUUGUAAAGCUCUUUCAACGGGGAAGAUAAUGACGGUACCCGUAGAAGAAGCCCCGGCUAACUUCGUGCCAGCAGCCGCGGUAAUACGAAGGGGGCUAGCGUUGUUCGGAAUUACUGGGCGUAAAGCGCACGUAGGCGGAUCGAUCAGUCAGGGGUGAAAUCCCAGGGCUUAACCCUGGAACUGCCUUUGAUACUGUCGAUCUAGAGUCCGGAAGAGGUGAGUGGAAUUCCGAGUGUAGAGGUGAAAUUCGUAGAUAUUCGGAGGAACACCAGUGGCGAAGGCGGCUCACUGGUCCGGUACUGACGCUGAGGUGCGAAAGCGUGGGGAGCAAACA
rnacentral:rRNA from 1 species